rnacentral:rRNA from 1 species
GAUGAACGCUAGCGGCAGGCCUAAUACAUGCAAGUCGAACGGAUAUAUGUUUUUCGGAAUAUAUAUUAGUGGCGCACGGGUGAGUAACACGUACAUAACUUGCCCUCAAGCGGGGGAUAGCCUUGGGAAACUGAGAGUAAUACCCCAUAGAAUUAUUGGACGGCAUCGUUUGAUAAUUAAAACUACGGUGUUUGGGGAUAGAUGUGCGUCUGAUUAGCUAGUUGGUGAGGUAACUGCUCACCAAGGCGACGAUCAGUAGGGGGCGUGAGAGCGUGGCCCCCCCACACGGGUACUGAGACACGGACCCGACUCCUACGGGAGGCAGCAGUAAGGAAUAUUGGUCAAUGGACGCAAGUCUGAACCAGCCAUGCCGCGUGAAGGAUGAAGGCCCUCUGGGUUGUAAACUUCUUUUAUCUGGGACGAAAAAAGGGAAUUCUUUCCCACUUGACGGUACCAGAGGAAUAAGCACCGGCUAACUCCGUG